rnacentral:lncRNA from 1 species
GAGAUCACCAUAAUGACUUGCAAGCAACUCACUGUGCUUUGGUAUUAGACUAUCUGGAUUUCUAAUGCAGUAAUGUAAGGCUACUGGGUACAGUCAAGUACUUGCAAAGUCUAUAUGUGGAUCAAGAUGAGAUUGAUCCCUCCAGAUUAUUGGAGUUGAUGUAUCGCUAUAUUUCAAUUUAGCAAAGCUUCGGCCAGGAUAAUCUAUAAGAUGGAUUUGAAAGGUUGAAAUACAAUACGGAUGAAGCAAUCUCGGUUGACAGUUAACCUGAGACCAUCCUAGAGCAUUCAGGGUCAAAAGGAUGAAUUAUGUAGUAACUAUGUGUAUGAGUU